rnacentral:rRNA from 1 species
UGAGGAAUAUUGGUCAAUGGGCGGAAGCUUGAACCAGCCAUCCCGCGUGCAGGAAGACAGCCCUAUGGGUUGUAAACUGCUUUUCCAGUGGGCGAAACACUCGUACGUGUACGAGAUUGACGGUACACUGGGAAUAAGCAUCGGCUAACUCCGUGCCAGCAGCCGCGGUAAUACGGAGGAUGCAAGCGUUAUCCGGAUUUAUUGGGUUUAAAGGGUGCGUAGGCGGAUGAAUAAGUCAGUGGUGAAAGGCUACAGCUUAACUGUAGACUUGCCGUUGAUACUGUUUAUCUCGAGUAUGGUCAAGGCAGGCGGAAUGUGUAAUGUAGCGGUGAAAUGCUUAGAUAUUACACAGAACACCGAUUGCGAAGGCAGCUUGCUGGGCCAUUACUGACGCUGAUGCACGAAAGCGUGGGGAGCGAACAG